UGAAGGGCAUCUGGUGGAUGCCUUGGCACUGAGAGGCGAUGAAGGACGCAGCACGUUGCGAUAAGCCAUGGGGAGCCGCGAGCAGGCUUUGAUCCGUGGAUUUCCGAAUGGGGCAACCCACCGCUUCGGCGGUAUCGCCUGCUGAAUCCAUAGGCAGGCGAGGCGAACCCGGGGAACUGAAACAUCUAAGUACCCGGAGGAAAGGACAUCAACCGAGACUCCGCAAGUAGUGGCGAGCGAACGCGGACCAGGCCAGUGGUCGCAGAGGGACAACCGGAACCGUCUGGAAAGGCGGGCCGGAGCGGGUGACAGCCCCGUACGGGUAAUGACCUUUGCGAUCCUCGAGUAGGGCGGGACACGUGAAAUCCUGUCUGAACGUGGGGGGACCACCCUCCAAGCCUAAGUACUCCUCAGUGACCGAUAGUGCACCAGUACCGUGAGGGAAAGGUGAAAAGCACCCCGACGAGGGGAGUGAAACAGACCUGAAACCGGAUGCCUACAAGCAGUCGGAGCUCCCUUGUGGAGUGACGGCGUACCUUUUGUAUAAUGGGUCAGCGACUUAAAGUAUGCAGCGAGCUUAAGCCGGUAGGUGGAGGCGCAGCGAAAGCGAGUCUGAACAGGGCGCCAGAGUUGCAUGCUUUAGACCCGAAACCUGAUGAUCUAGCCAUGGGCAGGUUGAAGGUGCGGUAACACGCACUGGAGGACCGAACUCACGCCUGUUGAAAAAGUCGGAGAUGACCUGUGGCUAGGGGUGAAAGGCCAAUCAAAUCAGGAAAUAGCUGGUUCUCCGCGAAAGCUAUUUAGGUAGCGCGUCGGACGAUUACCCACGGGGGUAGAGCACUGGAUGGGCUAGGGGGCCUCACCGCUUACCAAACCUAACCAAACUCCGAAUACCGUGGAGUACAGUCCGGCAGACAGACGGUCGGUGCUAAGGUCGAUCGUCAAGAGGGAAACAGCCCAGACCGCCAGCUAAGGUCCCCAAGUGGUGGCUAAGUGGGAAAGGAUGUGGGAAGGCCAUGACAACCAGGAGGUUGGCUUAGAAGCAGCCAUCCUUUAAAGAAAGCGUAAUAGCUCACUGGUCUAGAUCUAAGCCGGCCCGCGCCGAAAAUGUACCGGGGCUCAAGCCACCCACCGAAGCUGCGGAUGGCGGGAUUUAUCCUGCCGUGGUAGCGGAGCGUUGCCUAGGCCGUUGAAGGGUGCCCGUGAGGUCAUCUGGAGGUAUGGCAAGUGAGAAUGCUGACAUGAGUAGCGACAAAGAGUGUGAGAAACACUCUCGCCGGAAGUCCAAGGGUUCCUGCGCACGGUUAAUCCGCGCAGGGUGAGCCGGCCCCUAAGGCGAGGCCGAAAGGCGUAGUCGAUGGGAACCUGGUUAAUAUUCCAGGGCCUGGCGGAGGUGACGAAGGCUGAAGUCCGUACGUCCUUAUCGGAUUGGACGUGCGGUGGAGGCCUUCCAGGAAAUAGCCCCGCCAACAAGACCGUACCCCAAACCGACACAGGUGGACAGGUAGAGCAUACCCAGGCGCUUGAGAGAAUGGUGUUGAAGGAACUCGGCAAAUUACCCUCGUAACUUCGGGAGAAGAGGGCCCCGUCCCUGCGCAAGCGGGGGCGGGGGGCACAGACCAGGGGGUGGCGACUGUUUACUAAAAACACAGGGCUCUGCGAAGUCUGGCAUGACGACGUAUAGGGUCUGACGCCUGCCCGGUGCCGGAAGGUUAAAGGGAGGGGUGCAAGCUCCGAACUGAAGCCCCGGUAAACGGCGGCCGUAACAAUAACGGUCCUAAGGUAGCGAAAUUCCUUGUCGGGUAAGUUCCGACCUGCACGAAUGGCG
rnacentral:rRNA from 14 species